rnacentral:misc_RNA from 1 species
AGAUGAAGAACGUAGCGAAAUGCGAUAAGUAAUGUGAAUUGCAGAAUUCAGUGAAUCAUCGAAUCUUUGAACGCACCUUGCGCUCUUUGGUAUUCCGAAGAGCAUGCCUGUUUGAGUGUCAUGAAAAUAUCAACCUUGACUUGGGUUUUGUGCUCUAGUCUCGGCUUGGAAUUGGGUGCUUGCCGCUUUUACGAGCGGCUCACCUUAAAUGUAUUAGCUGGAUCUGUCUUUGAGACUUGGUUUGACUUGGCGUCAUAAGUAUUUCGCUAAGGACAUUCUUCGGAGUGGCCUCGUUUCUAGGACGCUUGUCCGCUUUCCAAUACAAGUUCCACCUCGUGGACAUGACUUUUUAUUAUCUGGCCUCAAAUCAGGUAGGAAUACCCGCUGAACUUAAGCAUAUCAAUAAGCGGAGGA